rnacentral:rRNA from 1 species
GUAGGGAAUAUUGGGCAAUGGAGGCAACUCUGACCCAGCCAUGCCGCGUGCAGGAAGACGGUCCUCUGGAUUGUAAACUGCUUUUGAAUGGGAAGAAACGCACUUUUGCGAAAGUGUUUGACGGUACUAUUAGAAUAAGCACCGGCUAACUCCGUGCCAGCAGCCGCGGUAAUACGGAGGGUGCAAGCGUUAUCCGGAUUUAUUGGGUUUAAAGGGUGCGUAGGCGGCUUGAUAAGUCUGGGGUUAAAGGCGGCAGCUUAACUGUACGCAUGCCCUGGAAACUGUGAAGCUUGAGUGACUUGGAGGUAGCUAGAAUUCCCUGUGUAGCGGUGAAAUGCAUAGAUACGGGGAGGAAUACCGAUUGCGAAGGCAUGUUACUACGAGUAAACUGACGCUGAUGCACGAAAGCGUGGGGAUCAAACAGGAUUAGAAACCCCAGUAGUCC